rnacentral:tmRNA from 1 species
GGGGAUGAUCGGUUUCGACAGUGCGUGUCAACCUGGGGGAAGCGGGCCGAGGAUGCAGGGUUAUCUCGUAAACGAUCUCUGUAAACCAAUAGGUGCCAAAGCUAAGCGCACCGACUUCGCUCUCGCCGCCUAAUAAGCCGCCAGACAAGUCCGUCGGACUAGGGAUGCCUUCGACCUAGACCCCGGCGCCAUUUAGAGGGAUUGCUGCAACACCGCGUUUCAGGAUGUUGUGGGACUUUUACUGGAACUGGGCUCGUCGACCAAGGUGUCUCAUCCAAUGGUCGGGGCCGAGUAGAACGACUCAUGAGACUACGCCCGUAGAAGACUUAGCUUCUCCGUAUUGGACGGGGGUUCAAUUCCCCCCAUCUCCACCA